GUUCGUUCCGGACGUUUGAAACAUGUGGCGUUUAGGAGGAAGCGUGCCGGAGGUCGAAGCCGCAGCAAGUCCCCCUGACCGGGGCUGUUACCCAGAGCGGGUGCGAGGCCCAUAGUUGCGGAGUCUCCUCCGGAUGCGACCUCUUGGGAGUCGGGUUGCUUGGGAGUGCAACCCUAAUCGGGUGGUAAACUCCACCUAAGACUAAAUACGGCCGUGAAACCGAUAGCAAACAAGUACCGUGAGGGAAAGUUGCAAAGAACUUUGAAGAGAGAGUUCAAGAGUACGUGAAACUGCUCAGAGGCAAACGGGUGGGCCCUCGAAAUCCUGUGGCGGGGGGAUUCAGUCGGGACGGGCAGAGUCGCUCGGCGGUUCCGACGGACCCUAUCCAAGGCCGGGCCGUCAGCGACGUCUCUUUCCGGCCCGACGCAUUUCCUCCCGCACUGAGGACGCCGCAGCCGGUUGGGUAGCUGCGCGAGUCGGCCAUGAGGGCGAGCCGCCGCAGGUGGCCGGGAGCGCGGUUCCGCGCCUCCGGUUGUUAGCUGGCACGCCCGUGGCGCGACACCCGACCGAGGUUGAUCGGUUCCCGUACGGGAACUAGCCGUCCCCUCCGAAGCGGGGGUGGCAGGCGUCGCCCGGNGUCGUCGCGUCACUCUCGUAGUGGCGGACGCGUCGGGUUCGCCGCUGGGGCUCCGUGGCUAGCGGCGAGUAGGUCGGUCACCCACCCGACCCGUCUUGAAACACGGACCAAGGAGUSUAACACGCGCGCGAGUCACGGGGUCUUGAUUAGGCCCAGAGGCGCAAUGAAAGUGAAGGUCGACCUCGCGGAGGGCGGGGGAGGCACCAACGACCCGUCCUAUCCGAUUUAUCGGUUGGGCGGAGUCUGAGCGCGCGCGUUGGGACCCGAAAGAUGGUGAACUAUGCCUGGGCAGGACGAAGCCAGAGGAAAC
rnacentral:rRNA from 1 species